rnacentral:rRNA from 1 species
GGAUUAGAUACCCUGGUAGUCCACGCCCUAAACGAUGUCUACUAGUUGUCGGGUCUUAAUUGACUUGGUAACGCAGCUAACGCGUGAAGUAGACCGCCUGGGGAGUACGGUCGCAAGAUUAAAACUCAAAGGAAUUGACGGGGACCCGCACAAGCGGUGGAUGAUGUGGAUUAAUUCGAUGCAACGCGAAAAACCUUACCUACCCUUGACAUGUACAGAAUCCCGAAGAGAUUUGGGAGUGUUCGAAAGAAAGCUGUAACACAGGUGCUGCAUGGCUGUCGUCAGCUCGUGUCGUGAGAUGUUGGGUUAAGUCCCGCAACGAGCGCAACCCUUGUCAUUAGUUGCUACGAAAGGGCACUCUAAUGAGACUGCCGGUGACAAACCGGAGGAAGGUGGGGAUGACGUCAAGUCCUCAUGGCCCUUAUGGGUAGGGCUUCACACGUCAUACAAUGGUACAUACAGAGGGCCGCCAACCCGUGAGGGGGAGCUAAUCCCAGAAAGUGUAUCGUAGUCCGGAUUGUAGUCUGCAACUCGACUACAUGAAGUUGGAAUCGCUAGUAAUCGCGGAUCAGCAUGUCGCGGUGAAUACGUUCCCGGGUCUUGUACACACCGCCCGUCACACCAUGGGAGCGGGUUUUACCAGAAGUAGGUAGCCUAACCGUAAGGAGGGCGCUUACCACGGUAGGAUUCGUGACUGGGGUGAAGUCGUUUAACAAGUAGCC